UACGUAGGGUGCAAGCGUUAAUCGGAAUUACUGGGCGUAAAGCGUGCGCAGGCGGUUGUGCAAGACAGAUGUGAAAUCCCCGGGCUCAACCUGGGAAUUGCAUUUGUGACUGCACGGCUAGAGUGUGUCAGAGGGGGGGUAGAAUUCCACGUGUAGCAGUGAAAUGCGUAGAGAUGUGGAGGAAUACCGAUGGCGAAGGCAGCCCCCCUGGGCCAAUACUGACGCUCAUGCACGAAAGCGUGGGGAGCAAACAGG
rnacentral:rRNA from 1 species